rnacentral:rRNA from 1 species
UCGAGAAUCUUCGGCAAUGGGCGCAAGCCUGACCGAGCGACGCCGCGUGUGCGAUGAAGGCCUUCGGGUUGUAAAGCACUGUCGAGGGGGAGGAAAGCCGGGGCAACCCGGCCUGACCUAUCCCUGGAGGAAGCACGGGCUAAGUUCGUGCCAGCAGCCGCGGUAAGACGAACCGUGCGAACGUUGUUCGGAUUCACUGGGCUUAAAGGGCGCGUAGGCGGGUCCACAAGUCAGGGGUGAAAGCUCCCGGCCUAACCGGGAAAGUGCCUUUGAUACUGUGGGUCUCGAGGGAGGUAGGGGCACGUGGAACUUCCGGUGGAGCGGUGAAAUGCGUAGAUAUCGGAAGGAACGCCGGUGGCGAAAGCGGCGUGCUGGACCUCUUCUGACGCUGAGGCGCGAAAGCCAGGGGAGCAAACGGGAUUAGAUACCCCCGUAGUCC